rnacentral:rRNA from 1 species
GAUGAACGCUGGCGGCGUGCCUAAUACAUGCAAGUCGAGCGAACAGACGAGGAGCUUGCUCCUCUGACGUUAGCGGCGGACGGGUGAGUAACACGUGGAUAACCUACCUAUAAGACUGGGAUAACUUCGGGAAACCGGAGCUAAUACCGGAUAAUAUAUUGAACCGCAUGGUUCAAUAGUGAAAGACGGUUUUGCUGUCACUUAUAGAUGGAUCCGCGCCGCAUUAGCUAGUUGGUAAGGUAACGGCUUACCAAGGCAACGAUGCGUAGCCGACCUGAGAGGGUGAUCGGCCACACUGGAACUGAGACACGGUCCAGACUCCUACGGGAGGCAGCAGUAGGGAAUCUUCCGCAAUGGGCGAAAGCCUGACGGAGCAACGCCGCGUGAGUGAUGAAGGUCUUCGGAUCGUAAAACGCUGUUAUUAGGGAAGAACAGAUGUGUAAGUAACUAUGCACGUCUUGACGGUACCUAAUCAGAAAACCACGGCUAACUACGU